GAUGCCAACACUCACAGGGUGGCUCACGACCAUUAGUAACUCUAGUUCUUGGGAAUCCUGCAUCCUCUGUUGACACUGCAUGCUUGUGGUGCAUAUAUACACAUGGGUGGUGAAUAUACAUACAGGCAGGCAGAACACCCACACACAUGAAAAUAAGUACAGUAAUUUGCUGCUGUUGUUGAGGCUGGAGACAUAGAUCAGUGACUAAGAGUACUUACUGUUCUUGGCAGAGGUUGCAAGUUCUGGUCCCUUGGCAGCUUACAAGUCCCUGUAACUCCAGUUUCAGAAGAUCCAGUGCCCUCUUCUUGCCCUUGCUGCCAUUGACACACAUGGCACACAUGCUCACAGCUUUGCACGCAUUCGCACACAAAGUAUUUUUUAGUGUGUGGAUGGCAAGAGUGGAGUUGGGGAGAGCAGUUGGGGGGUCUAGGCUAGAGAACAGUGCCUGGCUCUGAGAAGUGGCUACAGCUAAGGUAUACUUGGAGAUCUAGUGUGACUGAUGGAUUGAACCUGAGGAAGAGCAGGGAUGCCACUUACAUUCAGGUCUCAGCCUGAGUGGCCAGGCGUGGGGUGGAGCGGAGCUGAAGGGGGAGUGGCUUUGGAGCGUGGGAAGGAGACUGUAUGAAGGCUUUCCCUUUGGCUGUUUUUAACUUUCAGAAGUAUGUUACCCUUUGAAGCAGAAAUGCCGGGUGGCCAUUGGAGAUGUGAGUCUGCGAUCAGGGUGUACAGUGGGGCUUAAGAUUAAAUUCAGAGGUUACACAUUUUAUCUUUAAACCACUCCAUUGUGGUCUCAGAGAAAGAAUUUGGCUUCUAAUAAGGAAUUUGUGCUAAUUUGAUCAGAAUCAUGAGAAAGAAUAAAAUCUAACAACCUUUUUUUUUCUUCUGAGAACAGU
rnacentral:lncRNA from 1 species